rnacentral:rRNA from 1 species
UACGUAGGGUGCAAGCGUUAAUCGGAAUUACUGGGCGUAAAGCGUGCGCAGGCGGCUUUGCAAGACAGAUGUGAAAUCCCCGGGCUUAACCUGGGAACUGCAUUUGUGACUGCAUGGCUGGAGUGCGGCAGAGGGGGGAUGGAAUUCCGCGUGUAGCAGUGAAAUGCGUAGAUAUGCGGAGGAACACCGAUGGCGAAGGCAGCCCCCCUGGGCCAACACUGACGCUCAGGCACGAAAGCCAGGGGAGCGAACGGG